CUAUGGUUUAUUGGAUCGUACCCGUUAAAUGGAUAACUGUAAUAACUCUAGAGCUAAUACAUGCCACGAAGCCCUGACCCUCUGAAGGUUCGCCGGAUGGGGGGAUGGGUGCACUUAUUAGAUCAGAAGCCAACCGUGUAGGGUCGAAAGGCUUUGCACGUUGUCGUUCUGGUGACUCUGGAUAAUUGUUACAGAUCGCAGUCGGCCUUGAGUCGGCGACGGGUCCUUCAAAUGUCUGCCCUAUCAACUUUCGAUGGUAGGUGACCUGCCUACCAUGGUGAUAACGGGUAACGGGGAAUCAGGGUUCGAUUCCGGAGAGGGAGCCUGAGAAACGGCUACCACUUCCAAGGAAGGCAGCAGGCGCGCAAAUUACCCACUCCCAGUACGGGGAGGUGGUGACGAAAAAUACCGAUGCGGGACUCCUAAAAGAGGCUCCGUAAUCGGAAUGAGUGAACUUUAAAUCCUUUGACGAGGAUCAAUUGGAGGGCAAGUCUGGUGCCAGCAGCCGCGGUAACUCCAGCUCCAAUAGCGUAUAUUAAAGUUGCUGCAGUUAAAAAGCUCGUAGUUGGAUCUCGGUAUCACUGUUGCCUGUUAGUAUUUGAGCAGUAUUUACGGCUGUCUGUGCAUGGGUUAACACCUGUGUUAUAGGUGGUCGGCUGUUUCAAGCUAGCAGUGGUGGCGGUGUCACCUUUCAGCCAUGUCUGUGGUGAAAUAUCCGCAGGUGUAGGCGUGUGUCAGGCGGUGCAUGGCAUCUGUCGUGUCCGUCGGCUCGCUUGCAUGCCUUUGGAUGCCCUUCACCGGGUGUCUAUAGGCGGAUGGCACGUUUACUUUGAACAAAUUUGAGUGCUCAAACCAGGCCGAUGUUGCCUGAAAAGUUUUGCAUGGAAUAAUGGAAUAGGACUUCGGUUCUAUUUCGUUGGUUUUCGGAUCCGAAGUAAUGAUCAAAAGAGACAGGCGGGGACGUUUGUAUGGCUGCGCUAGAGGUGAAAUUCAUGGACCGUAGCCAGACAAACUAAAGCGAAAGCAUUCGUCAAGCAUGUUUUCAUUGACCAUGAGCGAAAGUCAGAGGCUCGAAGACGAUCAGAUACCGUCCUAGUUCUGACCAUAAACGAUGCCAACUGACGAUCCGUGGUGGUAGUAUAUAAACCUUCCCCACGGGCAGUCCCCGGGAAACCUUUAAGUCUUUGGGUUCCGGGGGAAGUAUGGUUGCAAAGCUGAAACUUAAAGGAAUUGACGGAAGGGCACCACCAGGAGUGGAGCCUGCGGCUUAAUUUGACUCAACACGGGAAAACUCACCCGGCCCGGACACUGUGAGGAUUGACAGAUUGAUAGCUCUUUCUUGAUUUGGUGGUUGGUGGUGCAUGGCCGUUCUUAGUUGGUGGAGCGAUUUGUCUGGUUAAUUCCGAUAACGAACGAGACUCUAGCCUGCUAAUUAGUGCAAUCGUCAACUGUUCCUGUGUCGGCGGCGUUUGACGAGGCUGUUCUAUAUAACUGGGUGCGGUGUCCUUGAUUGGUUGGGUGCCUUGUGUGCUCGACUGGUUGAGGCCUGUACUUGGUUGGGAUGGCUGGUUCGGCGUUAGCCACCGGGUACGGCGCGAUUUGUCUACUUCUUAGAGGGACAAGCGGGAGAAGCCGCACGAGAUUGAGCAAUAACAGGUCUGUGAUGCCCUUAGAUGUCCGGGGCCGCACGCGCGCUACAAUGACGGUGCCAACGAGUCUGACCUUCUGGCCCGAAAGGGUUGGGCAAACUGGUCAAUCACCGUCAUGACAGGGAUCGGGGCUUGGAAUUGUUCCCCGUGAACGAGGAAUUCCUAGUAAGUGCAAGUCAUAAGCUUGCGCUGAUUACGUCCCUGCCCUUUGUACACACCGCCCGUCGCUACUACCGAUUGAAUGGUUUAGUAAGGUCCUUGGAUUGGUGCCAUUGUGGUGGUUGUCGAAAGAUACUCACCCGACAGGUGCUAAGAAGACGACCAAACUUGAUCAUUUAGA
rnacentral:rRNA from 1 species